CAAAUUAAAGCUAUAUUAGUAUUUUAGUUACAUUAAAAAGUUUAUUGUUAAAUUCAAUAUGAUUUGA
rnacentral:tRNA from 1 species